UCCCUGAUAGCUCAGCUGGUAAAGAAUCCGCCUCCAGUGCGGAAGACCUGGGUUCGAAACCUGGGUUGGGAA
rnacentral:tRNA from 1 species